CCUAUACCAUACUUAGAAAUUUGCUCUAUACCUACUUGUAAAACUAUACUUUAAAAGUUAUCACUUUUCUGUAUAUAUGUUAUAUUUCACAAUAAAAAAAAGAAUGUAUGGACUGGAAACCAUGGUUUCACUAUUGCUAGCUGUGGCAUCUUAGGCAUGUCAUUAUCUCUCUGUGCUUCAGUUUUUCUUCUGUAAUAUGGGAAUAAUUAGACCUAAUGACUGUGAGGAACAAAUAAGAUGAUAUAUAUAAAGCAUUUAUUACAGUGCCUGGCCUGUAAGCAAACAUUCAAUAAAAGUUAGCUAUUAUUAUUAGCUUUUCUAAGGUCACGUGGAAGUCCAUGCUCUCUUCAUUAUAUCCCAAUAAGGCUCCAGAAUUCUGUUAAAUGGCAUAAAAGAAAUUAUACUUGGUGCUUUGUCAUCGUGCCUGGCUUAGUUGUAAUUUUCCCUUUGAGCAGCCACCCCAGUUAGCCCUGGCCUGAGCUUAACUGCAAGUAACAAGGCCUGUACCUCCACAGGGUUUGGAUGAUAAGAGCUUACCUUAUUUUCUUGGCAUGAAUGGCUCCUGUGCCUCUUCUCUAAAUGACCUCUUGCCCUUUCACACUGCAUAAUUUACUGACAAGGGCUGCCCUCAGCCUCUCCACACACCCUCGCAGGAGCCUAGGUUAGGUAAAACCAUCAGGCCCCUCUGCCAUCCUCAUUCUCCCCUCUCCCCCUCCAGGGCCUUGAUCUAACAAAGCUGUCCUUUCUGCAUUCUCAGAUGUCUGGCUAGCUGUGACUGUGUCUCAUCACCCAAAGAACUUUCACAUAACACCCAAAAUAUUCUGUUGUCUAGAACUCAAAUCUCCCCACAGUCUAGCCUCUUUCCUAUUAUUUCAUGUUAUCCUUUCAAAUACUCUUUCAACCCUGUAUCAUUUACUGAUUCAUUUAUAUACUCAUUUAACUAUCACUUUGCCAGCUGUCUUUGACAGUGUUAGCGGAGCUCCCUUUUGCUGAGAAAGAUGUUACCAGAGCCCUGUUCCAGGCUCGCCAUUUCAUCACAAGAAAGAAUUCAAGGAUGAGACAAGUAGGUAUAAGCAAAUGAGAAAAGUUUAUUGAGGAAAGUGAAAGUACAAGCUCUAAAGGGUGAGUGAGGGUGCUCAAGAGACAGAUGCACUGAAACUUGUUGGGUACAAGGGCUUUUUAUCAAACAAAGGGAGGUGGAGUUUGAGACACUGGUACACUUGGUACAUUGUGAUUGGUGAGUAAUCAUUCAAAUAAAGUCAUGUAAGUAAGCUGUGGCAAUCGGUUGUCUAUACAUUCUUGUGAUUGGUUACUAAACAUGCAACCCAAGGUUUGUAAGUAAGCUGCUGCAACAGGCUGAAUAUAGGUUCAAACCAAGGACUGUGAAUGAGUUAUUGUGAUUGGUCCAUGCCCUGUGGUUGAACAAUGUGUCUUACUUGGUUCAACCUCCUCGGGCUUCAGGAGCAUGUCUGUUCUCACCAGAUGCCCCUGUCCCUGCCCUGAGUCCAUAGGCACCUCAGAGGCUGCAAGACAUUUUUCCUACAUCCAACCUGCCUCAAAAGUACAAAGUAGUCUGAAUCACAGUUCCUUUAAAUUCAGUAAGACAAAUAAACACUCAUUAUAUUUAUAGAGAGGAAUUACAGACACUCAAAUUAAAAAUCAUGUGUGCAUAAAGAACAGACAGCUUACUCAGCUUGGAAGAGUUAGGGAAAGCUUCACUGCAGAGUGGCUUUAGACUUAGGUUUUAAAGAAUGCGUAAGAGUAAUGAAUGUAAUCGCUAUAAUUACAGCCAUUUCUAUGUUUUUCUAUUAUACUAUAAGCUUCUUAGGGUCAGGAUAUACAUGACAUUCAUAUUUGCAACUCCAACAAUGCACAGGAGAGUGUCUGGUGUGCAGCAAGCAAUUGAAUAAAUGGUUACUGAUGAGGAAGCUACCUGUCAGGGAGCUGUACACUGGUAUAAACAAAACAGAACAAAGCAAAGAACAUAGCUAUGCGAUGAUGGCUCGUAAUUCAGCAGUAAGGAAGAGGAAACAGUAAAAGAUGACAUCAAUGCUUCAAAUGUGGGAAGACAUCUAGGUGGAAAUAGAGUCCUAUGGCUGUGAACAACUCACAUUUCUAGAUGACUGGAAAUACCAAACCAACCUCUUGCUUGGGAUGUAUUUUUACAUGUGACAGAAUAAAAGUAGUAACAGUUGGAUUUGAAGUUGUUU